CAAGUCUCACAUGUUUACAGCUUCACGGUGAGAAAUUAACGGAGAGAGAAACCUUUGGAAAACUUGGGAAAAAGCGACAAAUUGCACAAAACUGCUGAGUGAAUUCACUGACAAAACUCCCAGUUGUGUAAAAAUGAGCCAGAUAUCAGCUAAACCAAGGAAAAGCAGGCAGAGUCAUCUAGACCUGCUAGCACUCAAUUUUGAAGAUACUGAAGUGCCCUGCGCCAGCUAUGUAGAGGCUUUAUCAGAAAAUUAUUGGAGGGCAUUAGCCGAUGGUGCCUCUGAGUCAGA